CUACGGGAGGCAGCAGUAGGGAAUCUUCGGCAAUGGACGAAAGUCUGACCGAGCAACGCCGCGUGAGUGAAGAAGGUUUUCGGAUCGUAAAACUCUGUUGUUAGAGAAGAACAAGGAUGAGAGUAACUGUUCAUCCCUUGACGGUAUCUAACCAGAAAGCCACGGCUAACUACGUGCCAGCAGCCGCGGUAAUACGUAGGGUGCCAGCAGCCGCGGUAAU
rnacentral:rRNA from 1 species